rnacentral:lncRNA from 1 species
GUUAGCCAAUGGUUUUAUUAGUGUUUACUAUUAUUCUUUGUAAAAGGUAUGACGUAUUUUCUAUAUGUAUCAAAUACUAAACUCCUAAAACAAGGUGGGUUAGGGCAAACAUGGAGUAUGGCCAUAUAAUUGAGAAUCAUACUAUAGUUUUUAUACAGCAGUCAAGUCACUAAAAAUGGUUUAUCAGGUUAGGUUUACCAGGAAUCCUAGAUGACACAACUGGGCAUGAGAAUACGAUGAACCACCGUCCUCUCCCUGAUGGCAGAGGUCAUUACUGGCCUUUCACAUUCAAGCCAUCUCCCAGCUGUGACUCUGGGCUUGCUGCACUGUAGUGUAGGUAGUGCUUUAAGGAGAUGGGAGUAGUUAGUUAAUGGUUCUUUACUGAAUUGGUUCUAAGAUAAGUGGACUAAAAUUAGAAGAAAAAUCUAGAAAAAAUUAGGAGACAUGUUUGUGGCAGAGAUCAUUAACUUGAGGAUACCCUAUGGCCUUAAGCAUCAGCUUUAUUCUCAUGCAAUAGUUAGAAACUAUUCUGAAACUUAGUCUUUAGUAUGUAGAUUUUUUUUUGCUUGAAACGAUGUUAGAUGUGGCUAUGCAAGCAUGGAAAGGUAUCUGCUUUUUCUACCAGGCUGAUCCAAACUUACACUGGGUCAGAUUGCCAAAUCACUCAAUAGACUGAGCCUCUGAUUUAGCUCAAGUCUGGGAUGCUUUAUACUGUGUAGGUUCACUUUCUCAUGGAAGGAGCAACUGUUUCUAGCAGCUGAAUCGAACAGCAACAUCUUCAUCCUAGAGUAGUGUGAAACCUGUUGCCCACAGUCCUCAUGAAGAUCCAGCCCUUGCAGUUUAGGGGAGCCAAGCAAGGGAGGAGCAUAUUUCUGUUCACAAGAACACUAGCAUGAGAAAUGCGUAGUCAAUCAAGAAUUUCCACCACCCUAGCAAAAAGUUUAUAGUCUAGUAGCUGGCAGAAAUACAACCUGCAUAAUUAUCCUGGUUUAAAUGAUCUGGCAAUAGAGAAUGUGUCCAUAAUUUAAUUUGAAUUCUGCAAAAAAGUAAAUAAGGUUAUAAUUAGUUGCCUAAAAACAAAGAUUGCCGAAAACAAUUCGGGCUUCACUGAAAAGCAUCCUGAUUGAUCCUUGAAUUGUUUAAGAAAUAUUUCAUGGACUAGAUUCAUCGAGUGAGUGUUUUAGGAGGAAAUAAUUUUCCCACAAGUGCUGUCCAGCAGUGACUUGGGAAGUACUCAAGCAGAGACAGAACUAUAAAAAUUCUUUGCAAAAACAGUUAUUGGAAUAUUGUGCAGCUGAUAAAGGACAAGCUGUGUCAGAACAAGAGAUCUGAAAAGUAUAUUUUAAAAGGCACUGAAACCAAUAGUAAAAAUUCAUAUUGACUUUAUUGACUGCUGAAGUUCAGUCUCAUUCAUCUUCCAGCCUUCUCUGAUACUGUCUUUCUGAGGCUUUUCUACGGUAGACAUCAUCUGUAUCAAACAAAAAGUUGCUCAGAUGUUUAAGAAACAUAUUUAAAAUUAAAACAAUCUGAAUAAUUUAACCAAUAGUCUAGGUCUGUCACCUACUUCUGAAUCUUGGCAUUAAUAUUUAACUCAAUGCCAAAAUAAACUUAAAACAAAACUUGAGUUAGAUGAGGACUAUGAUAAUGGAGUUCUAGACUUAAAUAGGGUAAAAGUCAGUGUCUUGAAAGAUAGAAUCAUGUCUUAGCACAUCUCUUAGUGUUUUAAGAUGUCCCUCACUUCCUUCUCCCCCAUAAUUUCUAUUCUGUGCUCUGAAGUCAUCCUUCUUAACUAAAACCUGGCUCCUCAAAGGCACUUCUUGCCUCUUGGCUCUCUGAUGCUCCCUCUCCCAUAUCCAGAAACCUUCAGGUGGGGAGAGGAGAUCAGUUUCCUUGUUCCAGCUGCUGCUUUGCCAGACCUUUGACUCGCCACCUUCAUGUAAAGAAUCUUCUUUCCAGGCCGCCCUGACUGCCAAGCGAAUGGAACUGCACUCGCCCAGCGCUCUGAGUGGAAUGCGCGGUCUGCAAUCUGAGAAUACUCCCCAGAAAAACGGAUCCCUACCGCCUCGUGCCUUCCUGAAAGGAAACAGAGACUGCUACCCCCUCACUUACAGAAGGUCUCCUGGCCCACGCGCACUUUAAUCAUGAUCCACUCCAUCGUUCCUCCCAGGACAAAAAAGAAGGGCAGGAACCGGUAGAUGCCAAAUCGCUGCUUCCCGGGCACCCGCUGCAGAAUCCGUCUCACCUGGGCCCUGGUGAACAUGCUCGACCGAGGUCGUGGAGAGGGAUAUGACGGAACUAAGCACUGGAUCGCCCGGACGCAGCCGAGACCGCCCCGCCCGUUCUCGCCGUGUACCGCGACCUGGGAGACUAGCGAGCGCCGUCCUCCGCCACUGUCUGGUAGGCGCACGAGU